GAUGAACGCUAGCAACAGGCUUAACACCUGCAAGUCGAGGGACCGGCGCACGGGUGAGUAACCCGUAUCCAACCUGCCCUUUACUCGGGGAUAGCCUUUCGAAAGAAAGAUUAAUACCCGAUGUAAAGGAUGGGGAGGCGUUCCCUUAGGUUGUUGGUGCGGUAACGGCUCAACAAGCCUUCGAUGGAUAGGGGUUCUGAGAGGAAGGCCCCCCACAUUGGAACUGAGACACGGUCCAAACGCCUACGGGAGGCAGCAGUGAGGAAUAUUGGUCAAUGGGCGUUAGCCUGAACCAGCCAAGUAGCGUGAAGGAUGAAGGCUUAUGGGUCGUAAACUUCUUUUAUAUAAGAAUAUGUAUUAUAUGAAUAAGGAUCGGCUAACUCCGUGCCAGCAGCCGCGGUAAUUC
rnacentral:rRNA from 1 species